ACUUUUACUGAGAGCUCUUUCGAGAUUCUAUGGGUGGUGGUGCAUGACCAUUCUUAGUUGGUGAAGCGAUUUGUCUGGUUAAUUUCGUUAACGAACGAGACCUCAGUCUGCUAACUAGCUGCCGAGGUAUCCCUUCAUGGCCAGCUUCUUAGAGGGACUAUAGUCUUUUAGGCUAUGGAAGUUUAAGGUAAUAACAGGUAUGUGAUGCCCUUAGAU
rnacentral:rRNA from 1 species